GGGGGGAAAUUGGGAUUUUUUGGGGGAUUUUUUGGGCAGAAUUUGUGAUAUUUUGGGUAAUUCUGUGAUCCCAGUUUUGGGGUGCCCUGGGGGAUUUUUGGGGGAUUUUUUUGGCAGAAUUUGUGAUUUUUUGGGGAUUUUUUGGGCAGAAUUUGUGAUUUUUGGGGGGAUUUUUUGGGGAUUUUUUGGGCAGAAUUUGUGAUUUUUGGGAGGAUUUUUUGGUCAGAAUUUGUGAUAUUUUGGGUAAUUUUGUGAUCCCAGUUUUGGGGUGCCCAGGGGGGUUUUUGGGGGGAUUUUUUGGGCAGAAUUUGUGAUAUUUUUGGGUAAAAUUGGGAUUUUUUGGAGAUUUUUUUUGGCAGAAUUUGUGAUUUUUUGGGGGAUUUUUUUGGAAUUUUUUUGGCAGAAAUUGGGAUUUUUGGGGGGAUUUUUUGGGCAGAAUUUGUGAUAUUUUGGGUAAUUCUGUGAUCCCAGUUUUGGGGUGCCCAGGGGGGUUUUUGGGGGGAUUUUUUGGGCAGAAUUUGUGAUAUUUUUGGGUAAAAUUGGGAUUUUUUGGAGAUUUUUUUUGGCAGAAUUUGUGAUUUUUUGGGGGAUUUUUUUGGAAUUUUUUUGGCAGAAAUUGGGAUUUUUGGGGGGAUUUUUUGGGCAGAAUUUGUGAUUUUUUGGGGAUUUUUUGGGGAUUUUUUUGGCAGAAUUUGUGAUUUUUUGGGGAUUUUUUGGGCAGAAUUUGUGAUUUUUGGGGGGAUUUUUUGGGGAUUUUUUUGGCAGAAUUUGUGAUUUUUUGGGGAUUUUUUGGGCAGAAUUUGUGAUUUUUGGGGGGAUUUUUUGGGGAUUUUUUGGGCAGAAUUUGUGAUUUUUGGGAGGAUUUUUUGGUCAGAAUUUGUGAUAUUUUGGGUAAUUUUGUGAUCCCAGUUUUGGGGUGCCCAGGGGGGUUUUUGGGGGAUUUUUUGGGCAGGAUUUGUGAUAUUUUGGGUAAUUCUGAUAUCCCGGUUUUGGGGUCCCCAGGGGGGUUUUUGGUGGGAUUUUUGGGGGGAUUUUUUGGCAGAAAUUGUGAUUUUUUGGGGGAUUUUU
rnacentral:lncRNA from 1 species